GUCCUUUUGAAUUUUAUAGAAGGUCUGACCUGCCCAGUGAUAAUUUUAACGGCCGCGGUAUACUGACCGUGCAAAGGUAGCAUAAUCAUUAGUCUUUUAAUAGAGGGCUGGAAUGAAAGGUUUAACGAGGAAUUGACUGUCUCAUUUUAUUUGUUUUAGAAUUUAAUUUUUUAGUCAAAAAGCUAAAAUCUUAUUGGAAGACGAGAAGACCCUAUAGAUCUUUAUAAAACUUUAUUUGAUUAUUUUUAUAUUAUUUUAUUUAAAUGAUUUUUUAUUUUGUUGGGGUGACAAAAAUAUAUAUAAAACUUUUUUAUUUAUUUAACAUUAAUUUAUGAUUAUUAGAUCCAUUAUUAGUGAUUGAUAGACUAAGUUACCUUAGGGAUAACAGCGUAAUCCUCCUCCAGAGUUCAUAUUUACAGGAUGGGCUUGCGACCUCGAUGUUGGAUUAAGAUGAUAGUUAGGUGUAGCCGCUUAAUUUAUAGGUCUGUUCGACCUUUAAACUCUU
rnacentral:rRNA from 1 species